CUUUUUACACUGCCGAGCCGGUUCGGUCGCGUCUUGGCACGAAUGAACGUUCCUCUGCGUCUUUCUCGUAGAUCACACCAUCUUUCAACGUCUUUGUUAAAUGCGACUGCAUCACCUUCUCUCCCAUGAUGACACACUUGUGGAUCAUCAUUAUCAACACACCUGCUUAUCUACUCCGGCUUCUGAACCAUUCAUCGCCAGCUCGUCAAACAGUCCAGCUAUAUCUUCUCACUACCGCGGCGUUGUCCUCCCACACAGCCUUCCUGGUUUCCACACCGACCCGGCUGGCCUUCCACAUUGACCAGCCUCUGCUCAUUCCAAGCGAAUAAACAUUUUAACUUUACAACCCUCGUCUAUUGUGGUGUGUUUGGGCUCCCCCUCCCUCUGGCCGUAACAAUGUAUCGUAAGAGAUACCCUGUGAUU
ensembl:lncRNA